GCCCCGCAUUUUCAUAAGCAUAUUAUAUGAAAUUAUAUUGAGUAAAUCGAUAAUGUCCAUUUCAUGAAUUAACAAGUGUAAGUUUAUUGCAUCCUAACUGUUUAUGUGGUUCAUAAUAUUUGAUUAAAUGUGCGAUCGACUCGAUUUGAUUAGAUGAUUAAGUAAUGUGAUUAAAUGAAUUAUGUGCUUUAAUUGAAGAAUUAAUGUAUGCAAUGUAUCUUUAAUUGUUUUACGAUUCAUGGUUUAAUGAAUGUAGAUACAUAUAUGUGAAUGUUGUGAGUAUAUAUAUAUGCUAGGUGAGUUAUGAUGUGGUGAUUAAUCUAUGCAAUUUAUCUCUAAUUAUUUUAUGAUUUAAUAAGUAUAGAUAUAUCUAUUAGUGAAUUGUGUAUAUUUGCCAUGUAUGUGCCGUGUGUGUUUGAAGUAUGUAGUCUAGUAUAUAACCUAUUUUCUGAAUUGCUAUUAGGACCCCCAUGGUUUUAGAUAUUGCAUAAUAGCCCUCAUGUAAAUUUCUCAAGACUUUCCAAGCAUAAGCUUGUAAAUUGCCAUUUACCUCUUUCUUCCUUUCCUCGUUUUUCACGGCAGCAUAACCCACACACACAUAAAUCUCUUUUUCUCCACUUUGAGUCAACCAAGGAAGACUCCUCUUCUUUUACUCCCAACUUCCCUACGACAUCCCUUCACUCUUUCUCCUCUCACGUCACGACAGCUAACACACAAAAGCAGAAUCCCCUUCUCGAGAACUCAUCAAAUUUCCCCUCCUUUCUCUGGGAAGUUUGAUAUCUAAUUAAUGGGAUUAAUUUCCCUAUAAAAUCCCCCAAACUAUCAAGAGGAUCCAAGUUCAGCCCCAAAAGCCUUCAAGCCAAAGCUCCGAGAAUCCUUCGGUUGCCCCUUCUUCCUUAUAUUCGAUUUUCUUCAAAGAGGUUCUCGAAACGGUUAUGGAGGCUGGCGGAGUGGAGUUCGAGGAAUCACGAGCCUUUAUGUCAAUCGAGUGUUUUUAAAGAUUAUAUUAGUCAUUCCAUUUUCAAAGUGUUUUAAAUUGAAAAGUUGAUAAAUACAUUUAUAAUGUACUCUGAUUUAGGAAUCUAGUCUAUUAAAUCGGGGUAUAUGUAAAAUAAAGUUAUUUAUCUUCCGCUGUAUUACAAGUAUUGCUUUAAAACCUCGUUCAUGUUUAAGUAGCACUCUUUAUGAAAAUUUUAUCUUU